rnacentral:sRNA from 1 species
UCCACGGCUUCCCGCAAAAUGACUUGAUGCAGUUAGACGGUGACUGGGACUCUUUCAAAAAAUAACCUCAAACCGACUCACACCCUCACAUUGUGAUGCCUCUGUCAAUGCUCUGCUACUCAGAAAGCAUGGCCUUUCUUUGAAGCUGCCAGCCCAAGUCUGCAUGUCUAUCAGCAGCAAUGCUCAGCCAUGUUUGCAGUUGAGCUCCCUCUCUCAGUCAAGGGAGAUGUCUAUAUCAUUACUCAGAUUGAAGAAGUCUCAGUAUGAUGUAUCAUCUCUUCAUAAUUGGAAAAACAAAAGC